AGCCCCGCCACUCUGCCCGGCUUUAUCUCCCGCCUGCAGCGAGCGCAGACGAGCGAGCCUCUCGCACCUCGGCAGGAAGAGAUGGCAGCGGGGGAGACGCAGCUCUACGCCAAGGUCUCCAACAAGCUCCGGGGCCGCAGCACCCCCUCGCUCCUGGACCCCCUCCUGGCCAUGGGCUUCCCGGCGCACACCGCGCUGAAGGCGUUGGCAGCCACGGGCAGGAAGACGGCGGAGGAGGCGGAGGACUGGCUGCAUUGCCAUCGCAAUGACCCUUCCCUGGACGACCCCAUCCCCCAAGAGUAUGCCCUUUUCCUCUGCCCCACGGGGGCCCUGCUGGACAAACUUCAGGAGUUCUGGAGGGAGAGCAAGCGUCAGUGUGCAAAGAAUAGAGCCCAUGAGGUCUUCCCCCACGUCACACUCUGUGACUUCUUCACGUGUGAAGACCAGAAGGUGGAAUGCCUGUACGAGGCCCUGAAGAGAGCCGGGGACAGGGUCCUGGGCGCCUUCCCGCCGGCCGUCCCGCUGGUGCUCCACUCCUCCAUCAGCUACCUCGGCUUCUUCCUCAGCGGCAGCCCCGCCGACGUCAUCCGGGAAUUUGCGGUGACCUUUGCCACCGAAGCCUCUGUCUUAGCAGACUGCGCCGUGAAGCCCUGCACCAAGCAGCUGCACCUGACCCUGGCCCACAAGUUCUACCCCCACCACCAGCGGACGCUGGAGCAGCUGGCCAGAGCCGUCCACCCCGGCCACGGCUGCCAGUGGACCGCGGCACUCUACUCCCGGGACAUGCGCUUCGUGCACUACCAGACCCUGAGGGCCCUAUUCCAGUACAAACCCCAGAACGCGGACGAGCUCACGCUGAGUCCGGGCGACUACAUCUUUGUGGACCCCACUCAGCAGGAGGAAGCCAGCGAGGGCUGGGUGAUCGGGGUCUCCCAGAGGACGGGCCGCCGGGGCUUCCUGCCGGAAAACUACACGGACCGAGCCAGCGAGGCUGACACCUGGGUGAAGCACAGGACGUACACCUUCAGCCUGGCCACGGACCUGAACUCCAGAAAGGACGGUGAAGGCGGCAGCAGACAAAAUGCAGAAUUUCAUCCUCCACAAACGUCGAUGAGUCUCAGCAGCCUACAGGCUCCGCAGGCCACAGCGGCGAGGAGGAGCGUGCUGGUGGUGCGCCACGGGGAGAGAGUGGACCAGAUCUUCGGGAAGUCGUGGCUGCAGCAGUGUUCCACUCCCGACGGAAAAUACUACAGGCCAGACCUGAACUUCCCCUGCAGCCUGCCCCGACGGAGCAACGGCAUCAAAGGCUUCGAAAGCGACCCGCCGUUGUCGUCCUGCGGAGUUUUCCAGUCCAGAAUCGCAGGGGCCGCGCUGCUGGACACUGGUGUCAGAGUGACCUCUGUGUUCGCCUCCCCAGCCCUCCGCUGUGUGCAGACGGCCAAACUCAUCCUGGAAGAACUCAAGCUGGAGAAAAAAAUUAAGAUAAGAGUGGAACCCGGAAUCUUUGAAUGGACAAAAUGGGAGGCAGGCAAAGCCACCCCAACCCUCAUGAGCCCGGAAGAGCUGAAGGAAGCGAACUUCCCCGUGGACACUGAUUACAGUUUUGAGCACAAAACUGGAGCCUCCUAUCGACCUCAGUCCUGCCUCCAGGCAGAGCCAUCUUGGAAGAACAUUCCCCUUCCCUGCUAACCGCAGCUGUGCAAUCCUGACCCUGCCAUCGGGCCAGGGUGGCAGCCUUCCCCCUCUGUCCCCGCAGGCCUGCGUUUCCCCUCUCCUGCCUCCUGCCAGCUGAGAGCUAUGGCGAGUACGUGGACAGGUGCACAGCAAGCAUGAGCCGGAUCGUCAACACCUGCCCACAGGACACGGGCAUCAUCCUGAUCGUGAGCCACGGCUCGGCGCUGGACUCCUGCACGCGGCCGCUCCUGGGGCUGCCGCCCCGGGACUGCGGGGAUUUCGCCCAGUUAGUGAGAAAGAUCCCUUCCCUGGGCAUGUGCUUCUGCGAGGAACACAGAGAGGAAGGGAAAUGGGAGCUGGUGAACCCGCCCGUGAAGACCCUGACUCACGGCUCCAACUCGGCGUUUAACUGGCGGAACUGGGUCCUCGGCAACUGA